GUGGUUCUUGACUUGGAGGGCUGGAGUGUGGAGGCCAGAGACUACUUCCCUUAGUCGAUAUGUGCCAAGAAAUCCGAUUUCAUCCAAAGCUGACAGAUCCAGUCCAGGUGGGAGAAUAAUGCACUGGCAGGCAGACUAGGAGCAGUGAGGUGUGGGGAAGGUAUGAUUUACAUCAUUAUCAUAGGAUCCUAGUGAAGAA
rnacentral:lncRNA from 1 species